GGCAUUCUGGUCCUCCUGGAUGUAAAUAUCCUCCAGGUCCUGCACUAUUUCCAACUUAUGCUCUAAGAUUUACAUCAGGGAUACAGAAAGAUGUCAAGAAUCAUCUCCUUUUAACCACUAGAUGGAGCCAGAGCACAGUCAGCUACAGGUGCCAGAGUCAGCGCAGGAGCACUGCAAGAUCUGACAGAACCGCUUCCGACCCAUCGGAUAGAUCCGACAGUUCUUCCCUGGCUUCAGCUCUGCCCCGUUCUGAUGCACAGGACAAGAAAGAUAAAGAUAUUCCUUCCACCACCUGACGUCUGCAUUUGGCCGGGACACGUUGAUCUCCAUCACAAUGGGUUUACCAGCAGAACUCUCCAGUGUGUCAGUGGUCAUGGGUAUAACAAGCCGGCGUUGUGCCCCGUCCACCUCAAGGAUCAAGUUAGGGCCCUC